rnacentral:rRNA from 1 species
GACGAACGCUGGCGGCGUGCUUAACACAUGCAAGUCGAACGGAAAGGCCCUGCUUUUGUGGGAUGCUCGAGUGGCGAACGGGUGAGUAACACGUGAGUAACCUGCCCUUGACUUUGGGAUAACUUCUGGAAACUGGGGCUAAUACCGGAUAUGAGCUCCUGCUGCAUAGUGGGGGAUGGAAAGAUUCGGCGGUUGGGGAUGGACUCGCGGGUUAGCAGCUUGUUGGUGGGGUAGUGGCUUACCAAGGCUUUGACGGGUAGCCGGCCUGAGAGGGUGACCGGGCACAAUGGGACUGAGAUAGGGCCCAGACUCAUACGGGAGGCAGCAGUGGGAAAUAGUGCGAAAAGGGCGGAAGCCGGAUACAGCAACGCCGCGUGCGAGAUGACGGCCUUCGGGUUGUAAACCGCGUUCGCCUGUGACGAAGCGUGAGUGACGGUAAUGGGUAAAGAAGCACCGGCUAACUACGUG